rnacentral:rRNA from 1 species
GAGUUUGAUCGUGGCUCAGGACGAACGCUGGCGGCGCGCCUAACACAUGCAAGUCGAACGGAGCUGAGAGAAGCUUGCCUUUCUUAGCUUAGUGGCGAACGGGUGAGUAACGCGUGAGUAACCUGCCCUGGAGUGGGGGACAACAGUUGGAAACGACUGCUAAUACCGCAUAAGCCCACGAUCCGGCAUCGGAUUGAGGGAAAAGGAUUUAUUCGCUUCAGGAUGGACUCGCGUCCAAUUAGCUAGUUGGUGAGGUAACGGCCCACCAAGGCGACGAUUGGUAGCCGGACUGAGAGGUUGAACGGCCACAUUGGGACUGAGACACGGCCCAGACUCCUACGGGAGGCAGCAGUGGGGAAUAUUGGGCAAUGGAGGGAACUCUGACCCAGCAACGCCGCGUGGA